UGACAUGCACUGAGAGGAAUGACCUAGUUCCACGGAAAGAAAUGAGAUACCUUGUGUGGAGAGCCAAACACACCACGUUUUAAAAGGCAAGGCAGAGUGGAGCGGAAGGAAAUGGCCGUGACGCUGGACUCUGCUGGCUGCUGAUGCAUUGGUACCUGUGGUGGAUGAAAUGGAACUGGUGAGAAAGUCCGGGAUCCCACCUGCUGAUUGUCAUAGGACAACCUAUAAAGCUCCUAUAAAGCAACACCUCCCAUUGUACAACUCAGUUCAUCUUCACAACAGAAUCGUAACUACUGAGUCUGACAUGCAGGGUACUUCUCACAUUCAAUAAAUGUUUGUCAGAUUUAACCAAAUACAGGAAAAUCAGUCAAAGGAGAGAUCUGGCAUCUUCAGCACUGAAAAGAAAAACAGUUAUCGAAUAAGAGUUCUACUCUAUGACUUAAGCCUUGCCCCCAAAUAAA